UACGGAGGGUGCAAGCGUUAUCCGGAUUCACUGGGUUUAAAGGGUGCGUAGGUGGGUCUGUAAGUCCGUGGUGAAAUCUCCGAGCUUAACUUGGAAACUGCCAUGGAUACUAUAGAUCUUGAAUACUGUGGAGGUUAGCGGAAUAUGUCAUGUAGCGGUGAAAUGCUUAGAUAUGACAUAGAACACCCAAUUGCGAAGGCAGCUGGCUACACAAAUAUUGACACUGAUGCACGAAAGCGUGGGGAUCAAACAGG
rnacentral:rRNA from 1 species